rnacentral:rRNA from 1 species
CAGAAACCCUUUGUGAACUUAUACCUUACUGUUGCCUCGGCGCUAGCUGGUCCCUCGGGGCCCCUCACCCUCGGGUGUUGAGACAGCCCGUCGGCGGCCAACCUAACUCUUGUUUUUACACUGAAACUCUGAGCACAAAACAUAAAUGAAUCAAAACUUUCAACAACGGAUCUCUUGGUUCUGGCAUCGAUGAAGAACGCAGCGAAAUGCGAUAAGUAAUGUGAAUUGCAGAAUUCAGUGAAUCAUCGAAUCUUUGAACGCACAUUGCGCCCUCUGGUAUUCCGGAGGGCAUGCCUGUUCGAGCGUCAUUUCAACCCUCAAGCCUGGCUUGGUGAUGGGGCACUGCUUCUUACCCAAGAAGCAGGCCCUGAAAUUCAGUGGCGAGCUCGCCAGGACCCCGAGCGCAGUAGUUAAACCCUCGCUCUGGAAGGCCCUGGCGGUGCCCUGCCGUUAAACCCCCAACUUCUGAAAAUU